rnacentral:rRNA from 1 species
UACAGAGGGGGCAAGCGUUGUUCGGAAUUACUGGGCGUAAAGGGCGCGUAGGCGGCCCGCUAAGUCGAACGUGAAAUCCCCGAGCUCAACUCGGGAACUGCGUCCGAUACUGGCGGGCUUGAAUCCGGGAGAGGGAUGCGGAAUUCCAGGUGUAGCGGUGAAAUGCGUAGAUAUCGGAAGGAACACCAGUGGCGAAAGCGGCUUCCUGGUCCAGCACCGACGUUCAGGCACGAAAGCGUGGGGAGCAAACAGG